rnacentral:rRNA from 1 species
CUUGCAUGCCUGCAGGUCGACGAUUCCGUCAAUUCAUUUGAGUUUUAGUCUUGCGACCGUACUCCCCAGGCGGUCUACUUAUCGCGUUAGCUGCGCCACUAAAGCCUCAAAGGCCCCAACGGCUAGUAGACAUCGUUUACGGCAUGGACUACCAGGGUAUCUAAUCCUGUUUGCUCCCCAUGCUUUCGUACCUCAGCGUCAGUAUUAGGCCAGAUGGCUGCCUUCGCCAUCGGUAUUCCUCCAGAUCUCUACGCAUUUCACCGCUACACCUGGAAUUCUACCAUCCUCUCCCAUACUCUAGCUUCCCAGUAUCGAAUGCAAUUCCCAAGUUAAGCUCGGGGAUUUCACAUCCGACUUAAAAAGCCGCCUACGCACGCUUUACGCCCAGUAAAUCCGAUUAACGCUCGCACCCUCUGUAUUACCGCGGCUGCUGGCACAGAGUUAGCCGGUGCUUAUUCUGCGAGUAACGUCCACUAUCCAAGAGUAUUAGUCUCAGUAGCCUCCUCCUCGCUUAAAGUGCUUUACAACCAUAAGGCCUUCUUCACACACGCGGCAUGGCUGGAUCAGAGUUUCCCCCAUUGUCCAAUAUUCCCCACUGCUGCCUCCCGUAGGAGUCUGGGCCGUGUCUCAGUCCCAGUGUGGCGGAUCAUCCUCUCAGACCCGCUACAGAUCGUCGCCUUGGUAGGCCUUUACCCCACCAACUAGCUAAU